rnacentral:rRNA from 1 species
UACGUAGGGUGCAAGCGUUAUCCGGAAUUAUUGGGCGUAAAGAGCUCGUAGGCGGUUUGUCGCGUCUGCUGUGAAAACUGGGGGCUCAACCCCCAGCCUGCAGUGGGUACGGGCAGACUAGAGUGCGGUAGGGGAGAUUGGAAUUCCUGGUGUAGCGGUGGAAUGCGCAGAUAUCAGGAGGAACACCAGAGGCGAAGGCGGAUCUCUGGGCCGUACUGACGCUGAGGACGACGAAGCGUGGGGAGCAACAGG